UGUGUAUCCUAUAGGAACAUCUUCCAAGUGCCUUUCUGCAGUUUUUCAGGAGCGCAAGAUAGAUU
rfam:Otolemur garnettii contig044412, whole genome shotgun sequence.